CCAGGCACUGUGCAUGGUGCUGAAUUAAAAAAAAAAAAAAAAAAAAAACAAACCAAAAAAAAAAAAAAAAACCCUGCCUUCCUACGUAGAAUGAUAGAGGGGCAGAUAGGGCCUAUAUGACUGACACUGAGGAAAUAUAAGUGUAAUGUGCUCUGAGAGUACCUGGGAUGGAGAGGUGAGAGCUGGAGGCCAGUAAGGGUCGGGGGUAGAAAAGAGACAGUGUUAGGGAAGCUGAAUGCAGAAAAACGGGUAGAAGCAAGAAGAAAUAGAGGAAUAAGAGUAUGGGGAUAAAAGAGAGCUCAAGAAGAGGAAAACAGCAGGUACAGAGGUCUAAGGGCAAAAGAGUUUGAAGGAUCAAAAGUAGUUCAGUGUAGCUAAGAGCAUAGAGAACAAAGGAGGAAGUGCUGGGUGUGGCGGUGCUCACCUAUCCUCCCAGCCAUCCCAGUGGCUGGAGAGGCUGAGGUAGGAGGAUCAGGAGGAUGGAGAGUUCCAAGACAGCCGCCCCAACUUAGUGAGACCCUGUUUAGAAAUUAAAAAAAAAAUGCUGGGGAUCUGGC
rnacentral:lncRNA from 1 species